UAUUAUUAUUGUUGUUGUUGUUGUUGUUGUUAUUAUUAUUGUUGUUGUUGUUGUUGUUAUUGUUAUUAUUUAUUAUAUUUAUAAACCGCCCUCCCCUGAAGGGCUCAGGGCGGCGUACCAAGAAGCAUACUUCGCUAGGCUGAAUAGCCAAAUUUUAUGGACAGAAACAUGUGCUCUCUUGAGGGAAAUAGAGGACUGAUCCUCCAUUUUGAAAACCUUGACUUUUGAUGGCUUGGGAUCAGAGAUCUUGUGUGUCCCCCAAGACAAACAUGACUCUCAACGAACGCUUUGGUAUCCUGAAGGAACAAAGAACCGCCCUCUCUCAGAACAAAGGCAGUCGUUUUGUGACUGUGGGCUAGGGGCCAACAGAGAAACGCCCAGACAUGGAUGCCCUCUCCUUCUAAGAAACUGAACUAACAGUGAACAGAAAAGACUGGGAUAUGUUGGACUUUGUGUCAAGAUGCUGAUGAAACUGAAUAUCUCUCCCCCUCACCCCCCCACUUUUUAAAAACUGUCUUUAUUUUGAAUAGUUAAAUCCUUGGCAUGAUAUUGGGCCAUGAAAAGAGAAUAUUCAGUAUACUUGAUAGAUGGUGUCAUGUUGCCGCGAUGGGAAAAGAUUCCGUGUAGCCCCGACUAGGAGGGGGACAAGCAAAUAUUUUUGUUCUAGUACCCUGACGCAACUGGCCGAGAAUGGUAUUGAUGAUGGUAGUUGGUCCUAGCUCCACAGCGAAACUGAAGAUCAUGACAUUUCAUUCACGGCCCUUCGCUCUCCUAUUCAGCACAAAGUUCAGCAUGAAGAUAACUUCCCCUUUCCUGGUUUCUGCCCUGCAUCUGCUAUUGAAAGCUCAACUUUUAGGAAAAUUCGAAGAGGUAGAAUAAAAACCCAGUACUUUCCAGCAGCGCUUGGAUUCCGAAAGGUGUGGCAGCCAGAUUGUCAUCACUCUUACAAUAAAGAACGAGGCCGUGGUGAGAAGGGGAGGGGGGCGUCCGUGCGUUUUGAGAAAUCAGUCUGUUUCGAUGGGGCGAAACGUUAUUGACCGUCACAAAUUCUUCUUCGCUUCAGGGCUUUGCGAGCCGAGACUGUGAUUCGACGACCAUUAGACAUGGCUUGACAAAUGACUUUGGUGAUUUUUCUGAAAUGUGAAUUUUGACCCAGUCCUUAGGGUUGGUUUCAUCAGGCUUACAUUCAGGUGUUUCGAGGGGCUGUCCUGUUGUAUCAAGAGAUCAGAAGUUGUGGAGACGGCUUUCCAGACUUCACAUGCAUUGACUGGUUUCUUGAAUGUGGACCAUGCGUCAUAAUGUCCGCGGUGGACAGAAAACGCCUAUUGGCAUCGAAAGCUGUUUGAGGCUAGUUGUGUUUGGAGCCGUGGCACAUGCAACGCAGCUGCUUAUGAAUAGCAUCCAGGUCUAAAAAUGUCCCACACUGAUUCAUUUAUGUACAUCUGGAUAAACAGAUACUAUUUUAUUUCCCUCCCUCCCGCAGUCUACAGGGGCACGGUUUGCAGAAUGAGAUCCGUGGGUUUGUUAGUUUAUUUUCUUUUUUAAAUCCCCAUGUAAAUUGUUUAUGCCGGAGUUCAAGAGGGGAAAUCUCUUUUGUUUGGCACUCUUUUCUGCAGUCAGUUUUGAAACAGUCAUAUGUUCAUGACCAUUGAUGUUCAACUACUUCUGUUUUUAAUUCUUUGGGAUAUGUUCUGUACCUUGGCAAUGGGAAAAGUUUAGAGCGUAACACAAGUUUUUGCUUUUUGAAAAAAAAUUUGUUAGUAGGAGUUCUGUUAAAGAAGUCUGUUAGCGUUGACGUAGACUGUACCGCUGAUGAGCAUCCUGCGUUUUGUUUUGACCAGGAUGCAGUUAAAAACAAAAAAAGUAAUAUUCCUUUUCUUGCAUCAACAUGGAUGCAAACCAUUGAUGCAAUGCAUCUCGAGAGAGCUAAUUUGUAUUUAAGGAUAGUAUGAUUAAAACUGUACUUUUUGGUAUUUUUUUUGGAGAAGUUAACUACAUUUGGAUCUAUUCUAAAGCUGUUGGACUUUUUAAAAAUAAAAAAAAAGUUACAGGUU